GGGGUUACAAAAACAAAAAAUGCCUCAGUGCAACUUAGUUCUUUCGGCUGACAUCAAUGACUCCGUAAAAGAAUUGGCACGGUGUAUACCAAGACCAGCUAUUUUGACAACUCUGAUAUCUAUUUUGAAAUAUUCUUUCAUUUCUACACUUCCACAACAACCAUCCAGCAUAUGCCAUAGUGGAUGGUGUACUUUAUCAAAAUAUGAGAAAAGAGAAUUAACAAGCCCAUCUAGUGAGUCCGAAGGAAGUUGAAACCCCACUUCAAUUGCAACAAAAGACCAAACCGUAGUUGCUCUUGGGCAUUGGAUCAACACAUGGUCGAGAUCUUCAAUGUCACUACACUGAUCACAAUGGGCUCUUAGGAGGUCCCACAGAUCCCUAAUACAAUAUAGCAACUUAUAGGGCAGCCUAUUUUGAGCAACUUUCCAAUAGAACAAAGAAACCCGAGGAGCCGCACUCAUUUUCCAUAGUUCAGAAAAUCUAGUUGGAGGAUCAGUAACCUGCAUUGUAUCGGUAGAUAACAACUUGUAGCAGACCCAUAGAACUUUCAUAGAAUAGGAGUUAGAGUGGCACCAAAUCCGCACAUCCCUACAAGGAAGAACAGGAAUGGGAAUCAACUUGAUCUGGUUAACCAAAUCUUCAAUAAACAUACUGGACAAGAGUUGUACAUUUCAAUCACCACCACUAAUAAAAUCUAAAAUAGUAGAGUUCUCCAAAUCAGUUUCCACAUUGAUAAAAAUUGGCAACUCACUUUAAUGGUAUGUUAGUAAUCAAGCAUCUUGCAAAACCUUCAUUAAGAUACCAUCACCUAUCAUCCACUAUGUUUUAAACAACAUCAAAGAAGCAUGUUUAACAAUCUCCUUCCAAAUAUGAGAUGACUUUCUAGGGCAAUGUUAAUCACCCCAGUUAUUACCAAAAUUAUAUUUAUAUUGUACAGCCAUAGCCCAUAAAGUAGGAUUAAGCAAAAGUUGGGUGGCGUGCUUGACAAAUAGUGCUUUCCUCCUCAAUUUAAGCUCUUGCAGACCAAGUCUCCCAACUUUCUUGGGAUGGCAAAUAGAAUCCCAAGAUACAUAAUGAACACCUUGAUGGUGAGCCUCUUGUGCCCAAAAGAAAGAUUUGAGAUACUUCUAAAUAGAGUCAAUAAUACAAAGAGGCACAACCGUAUUAGUCAUAGUAAACAUAGGCACCGAAGCUAAAACAGAAUGAAUUAACACCAAUCGACCAGCUUGAAAUAAUAACCUCUAGUUCCACCCAUCUAUCUUUGAAUUAACCCUGCUCACCAGAUAAUUAAAAUCUUGAGUUCUGAGCCUUUUGUCAGACAUAGAAAUGCCCAGAUAGGUGAUAUUACCUGCUCAAUUUCUAAUUUAUAGAAUAGAACAAAUACUCUACUUAACACCCAAAUCAAUUUUUCGAGUGAACAUAGCAUGACAUUUUUGAAUAUUCACUAGUUGACCAGAUUGAAGAUAAUAAGAGUACAUGAUAUGUGUAAUUAGCUUUGCAUUAUGAGUGAUUGCCCUCACAGUGAUCUAUAGAUCAUCAGCAAACAUCAAAUGCGACAACGAAGGGCCAUGUUUACCUAGCUUAUAAGAUUUUAAAUUUUCCUCAUAGAUAGCAUCUUUUAAUAUGUGAGACACAUAUCAAAACAGAGAAUAAAUGAGAAUGGUGACAAAGGACAACCUUAGUGUAAUCCAAUGGAUGGUGCAAACCAUAUGGUCGAAUAGCCAUUAACCAAAAUUGCAAACUCCGAUAAGCACGCACAAGCAGAAAUCAAAUUAAUAAAAGUAGAAUGAAAGCCCAACUAUAGAAGAACUUUUUUGAGGUAUGGCCAUCGCAUUCUAUCGUAGGCUCUUUCUAUAUCCACCUUAAGUAUCAUCAGAGCUCUAGAUUUGAGAGCAAUUUUCAUGGAAUGAAAAACCUCUUGAACCAAUACUAGGUUGUUCGUGAUAGAUCUUCCAACAACAAAAGCACCCUGCUCUAUGGAGAUCAAAGUAGGCAUUAAUGGUUUCAUAUGAUUAACAAGCAGUUUGGCUACCACUUUGUACAAAGAAUUACAAAGACUAAUUGGGCAGAAUUUGAAGGAAACAUAGGAAGUUUCACACAUGCAUUUUAAAUUUUUUUAGCAAAAACUAACUAGAUUAAAUAAUUUAAUCUACCAUGCAUGUGUUAGAGCAGAUCUAAAACUAUCAAGCAAGAACAAUGACAUAACAUAUAUGUCUUCAAGAAUCUAAAAUCUAACACUAACAAGCAUCGAUCAUAUCAAUGCCUUAGAUCAAAUCUAUCUAGUCAUUGAGUUUUGAACCCAAUACUUGAGCGCGGGUCGAAGAUCAUCAUUGUUGAUUAUCAUAGAUUUGAGAUUCUUCUAGUCUUGCAGUAGCUGCACAAGUUGUCCGACCUCUACGGAAGUUCACAUGAAGCUCAAAUCUGAUUAAUCUCUUUGGAGUGCUAGCUCUUCAUAGAGAUCACUUGAUGGCUGAUCACGUUUCUUUCUUCGAAUCACUCAGACUCUUCCAAAGAUGAAGAUGAAUUUAGGAGGAGGUGAGACAGUGGAAGAAAGUGAAAUGAAGAAAAUCUAAUCUCUCUAUUUUUCUCUCUUCUCAGAUCAAACCCUGGAUCGCUCACCCCAAAAGGAGAUGGUUCUCCUCAAAUCUCUCAUGCCAAAGAAGGAAUGCCCACCCCAAGACCUCAUGCCCUACACUCAUGUUCGGCCACUCUCUCUUCUGAUUUUUCACGAUGAAAAAUCAAUUCACACUCUCUUUCACAUGCUAAAACAAAUUUUUAUUUGAUGGCAUUGAAAGGAAGUUAGGAUAAGGAUAAAUCCUUACGAAGAUAAGAAUCAAAUUUGAACUCAAAUUCAAAUCAAAUUUGAACUCAAAUUCAAACUAAACUUAUCCCAUCCAAAGAGGGGCGACAAAGGGGCUAAGGUGUGGAGUUUUCCUCACACACAAUUAUGAAUUGUGCGAUGACAAAAUGGCAUGGAGAAGUGGAUGAGGCGCUAGGUUUAAAUUCAAACCCAUUUGAAUUUAAUUCAAACUAAUUUUGGUCCUUAUCCAAAUCAGAUUUGGUUAUAUCUAAUUAGAUAAUUGAACCUAAUCUAAUUAGACAUCACAAUUUGAUUAAAUCCUAAGGUAAUAAAAAAUUAAUCGAGCUCAAGGUCUGAUCAAAUUAGAAAUUGAACUCUGUUAGUGAUUAGGUCAUCUUAUAACCUAAUCGAGUCAAACCUAAUUGAAUCCAAUUCAAUUAGAUUUGAUCUGAACCUUAUUGUUCAAUUAAAUUGAGCUAAUUAGCAAUCUAAUUAUUAAUUAAUCUUCUUAUAAUUUACUAACUGUUAAUAAAUUAUUCAAUCAUAAUUUUUGUAUAAGAUUAAUCAUCAAUCAUAUUGACGAUUAUACCCUUGAAUGAUUCUCAAUCGUUGAUCAGCCAUCUGAUCAAACAGAAACUUCUAUUGUGUGUGACUCCAUAGGUUCGAUCCUAAGCUGGUAGCAUAGGAAUAAAUUUUUAUACUAAUUGAAGUGACUAUCCAGCAAUGAUACCCGACAUCUGGAUAGGCCAAAUGGUUGCAAAGUAACAUUCAAGAACCUUUGGCAUAUGGUUCCUGUAUAAUUCAUUCCUUUGAUCUUCAAUGCUCAAGAUGACUUCAAAGUUAAACCAUCAACUCUUGAUUUGUAUAUCCAAAUUGUGUCUCAAUCUUAUAAAUCCUAUGACUCCUCACAUGGAUUAUCUUAGUCAAGAUUUUACUAAAUUGAAACACAUUGCAGCGUUAACUCCUGAAACUAGGAGCGGUCAAUCUCAUUUUGACUCACACACAGACUUCACAAGUACUUAACUGUGUCUAGAAAUCUUCCAUCAUUAUAUUAGAAAUACAGAUAGUCCGACACCAAAGCAUAGUGAGCUACUUGCAAGUCAUCAUGAUAAUCUCAAAUUGGAGGGACACUUAUUUCCAUAACCUUCGUGAGCAACCCUUGACAGCAGAGCACUCCAUAGAUUGAUCACGUUCAAUAAAAUAUAUUCUUACAUUUCAUUUAUAUGCCAUACCAGUGUCUCUGUACUUUUUGUUUAUGAGGAUAAUCAACUCAUAUGGCACACAACGACCUACACUUGAUAAACAUCAUCAUCCUAUUAAUAACAUAUCAUUUGGUCGCAAACAAGUUUAAGAACUAUUCGAUAAAUCUUUCUUUAUCGAUUUAAAAAUAAUUCUAAGGACUUCAUCAUAAAAGGAGUUCUAAAAAGAAGAUGCAAAAUUAUGAUGAAUAUGCAAAAAUAAUUUUUAUUAAUAUAAAUCAAUUAUAAUUCAUAUACAAGAGCACAACCAUCUACAGCUUAGAUGAUUGGUUUUAAGAUACAUUUCUAACAAUCUCCUACUUGAACUAUAAUCAAUCAGAAUAGUAUCUAAUACCUAUCUUUCACUUGUGAUCAUCGAACUCCUUGAUUUCGAGGGCUUUAGUGAAUGGGUCGACUGGAUUCUCCUUUCCAUCAAUCUUUUGAAGAUUGAUAUCACCUCGUUCUACGAUCUCACAGACAAGAUGGUAGCGACACAAAAUGUACUUGGUUCUCUGAUGGAACUUGGAUUCUUUUGUUUGAGAAAUGGCACUAAUAUUGUCAUAAUACAGUGAAACUAGACCUUCAUAUGAGGGAACCACUCCAAGCUCACCGAUAAACUUCUCCAACCCAACAGAUUCUUUGGCAGCAUCAGGUGCUGCAAUGUAUUCCAUCUCGCAAAUAGAAUCGGCUAUCGUAUGUUGCUUAAAAUUUUUUCAGCAUAUCGCUCUACCAUACAGGAUAAAGAUGUAACCCGACACACUCUUGCUGUCAUCAUAAUCUGACUGAAAAUUGAAAUCAGUAUAUCUCACAAGUUUUAAGAUAGUUUCUCCAUAAAUGAGCUAUUGAUUUUUAAUAUUUCUUAAAUACUUAAGGAUAAUUUUUAUAACCUUCCAAUGGUUCUCAUCUGGAUCAGAUAGAUACCUAUUCACUAUCUCUAGUGAAUAAGCAAUAUCUGGUCUUGUAUAUAUCAUUGCAUAUGUUAUAGAUCUCACUGCUGAAGUAUAUGGGAUUCUACUUAUACGCUCUCUUUCUUAAAAAGUUAUCGGAUAAUCCUUCUUAGAAAGAAAAAUUUUUUAGCCUAUUGGUAGAUAGCCCUUCUUAGAAUUUGCUAUGCUGAACCAUUUUAGUACGAUAUCAAUAUAUGUGGAUUGGGACAAUCUAAGUAAUAUUUUAGAUCUAUCUCUAUAGAUCUUCAUCCCUAGAAUGUAGGAUGCUUCUCCCAAAUCUUUCAUGAAGAAUUGAGACGAUAGCUAUAGCUUUACACUUUGUAAAGUAGGGAUGUUAUUCCCAAUUAAGAGAAUAUCAUCAACAUAAAAUAUAAAAAAAUUACUACAGAACCAUUAACCCAUUUAUAGAUGCAGGGUUCUUCUUCAUUCUUAAUAAAGUCAUAUGUUCUAAUCAUUUUAUCAAAACAUAAGUUUCAACUCCAAAAUACUUACUUCAAUCCAUAAAUGGAUCUCUGAAGCUUACACAUAUUUGACUUAUCUGUGGAUGUGAACCCUUCAAGUUGUAUCAUAUAUACUUUUUGUUCCAGCUCUCUAUUUAGGAAAGCCGUCUUGACAUUUAUUUUUCAGAUUUCAUAAUUCAGGUAUGUUGCUAUCAUAAGCAUAAUCUGAAUGGAUUUAAAUAUUAUCAUAGAAGAAAAUAUUUCAUCAUAGUCUAUUCCAUAAUGGCGAUGAUAUCUCUUGAUAACCAAAUGGGCUUUAUAGGUCUCUAUCUUCCUGUCUGUGCCUUUUUUCUUUUGAAAAUCUAUUUGCAUCCUAUAGAUUUUAUCUCUUUGGAUGGAUCAACGAGUGUCCAUACAUUAUUGAUCUUCAUGAAUUUUAUUUCAGACUUCAUGGCUUCGAGCCACGUAUUAGAGUCAGAUCUCUGUAUGGCAUCAAUGUAGAUGAUCGGAUCCUCGUUGUUUUUAUCAAGUUCAACAGGAUCUCCAUUCUGGAUUAAGAACCAUAGUAUCUAUCCCACUGAUGUGAUACUCUAUUAGAUCUCCUUAAAGGUGCCUUUACAAUGGGCUCUAGAUUUAAUCUAAUCAAAUUUAGUUCUGAAUUUCACUUGUCUAUAUCGAUUCUUCUACUUGUCGAACUUCAUCAAGUUCAACCUUAGUGGCAUUAAGUUCUUUCCUAAAGAACUUCUUUUCUAAAAAGAUUAUCCUAUUGCUGACGAACACCUUUUAUUUUUCAGCAAGAUAAAAGUAAUAUCCUCUAAUUUUUUUGGGUACCCAAUAAAUAGACAUCUAUUAAAGCUAGGUCUAAGCUUAUCUAUCUUGAAAUGUUUGACAUAAGCCGGACAUCCCUAGGCCCUGAGGUGUGAGAGUACCGAUUUAUGUCCUGUCCAUAUCUCAUAUGAUAUUUUAUUUAUAGACUUGCUCGAAAUCUUAUUUAAUAUAUAAUAGGCAGACUCGAGUGCAUAUCCUCAAAAAGAGAUCGACAGACUUGUAAAGUCCAUCAUAGAUCGAACUAUGUCUAACAGUAUUCAAUUCUUCCUUUCUGACACUCUAUUAUGUUGUGGUGUCCCAAGAGGAGUCCAUUAUAAGAGAAUCCCAUUCUUUCCUAGAUAUGUCAGAAACUCACUGGUGAGGUAUUCUCCUCCUCAGUCUAAUUGAAAAAUUUUAAUACUCUUUCGAAUUUAUUUUUCAACCUCAUUACAGAAUCGUUUGAAUAUUUCAAAUGAUUCACAUUUAUGUUUCAUAAGAUAGACGAACCCAUACCUAUAUAAGUCGUCAGUGAUUGUAAUGAAGUAGUAAUACCCACCUCUAACAAGUGUUCAUUGGUCUACAUACAUCACUAUGUACUAGACUUAGAACUUCACUGGCUCGUUCACCUUUUUCAGUAAAAAAUGACUUUGUCAUUUUCUCAAGAAGACAGGAUUUAUAGAUCGGUAAUGAUUCACAAUCAUUAACUUCGAAAAUUCUCUUUAGUUAACCUAUUUAUCCUAUUCUUGUUAAUAUGACCUAGCCUAUAAUGCCAAAGAUAGACAUUAGUGAUAUUAUCUAAUCUAAGGUGUUUGUUCGAUGUGUACAUUACACUAACAGACUGUGAUAAAAUAUAAAUAUCAUUUCUCAAUUGUCCNNNNNNNNNNNNNNNNNNNNNNNNNNNNNNNNNNNNNNNNNNNNNNNNNNNNNNNNNNNNNNNNNNNNNNNNNNNNNNNNNNNNNNNNNNNNNNNNNNNNNNNNNNNNNNNNNNNNNNNNNNNNNNNNNNNNNNNNNNNNNNNNNNNNNNNNNNNNNNNNNNNNNNNNNNNNNNNNNNNNNNNNNNNNNNNNNNNNNNNNNNNNNNNNNNNNNNNNNNNNNNNNNNNNNNNNNNNNNNNNNNNNNNNNNNNNNNNNNNNNNNNNNNNNNNNNNNNNNNNNNNNNNNNNNNNNNNNNNNNNNNNNNNNNNNNNNNNNNNNNNNNNNNNNNNNNNNNNNNNNNNNNNNNNNNNNNNNNNNNNNNNNNNNNNNNNNNNNNNNNNNNNNNNNNNNNNNNNNNNNNNNNNNNNNNNNNNNNNNNNNNNNNNNNNNNNNNNNNNNNNNNNNNNNNNNNNNNNNNNNNNNNNNNNAUUGAUAAAUGAUAACUAUGUUUGGCCAAAAGGCCUACAGAGAUUACAUUCAUUAGAAAAGAUGGACAAAAUGACAAUCAUCUAAGACAAUAAUAUUUUUAAAAUUAAAAACAAGCUCGACAACUCCUAAAGCUAGGACUGGAAUAUGACUUUCUUCUUUCAUAUUCAGAAAUCUCUAGCUGUUUUCAAACCUCCUACUAACCUGAAGUUUCUACAAUGAAUUACAAAUAUUAAUUGGACUUUCAGUAUCCAAUACCUAGAUAGUAGUAUCACAAAUAAAGAAGUUAUAAGGUAUUAUCAUAUAAGUACCUUGAUUAGUAACUGCUUACUACCUCCUCUUGUUAGGCCUGUUCGGAUCAAAGGAAGCAAUAUAUUCAGGAUAAUUCCUCUUCUAGUGAUCCAGUUUCUUACAGUAGAAGCAUUUUGUCUGGCUUUUAUCGACCUUAAAUAUUUUGGUCUGAUUGGGCUUUGACGCCCCAGCACGCUGCAUCUUCUUCUUCUUCUUUUCUUUCUUAAAGGGAUGAUGUCUAGCAGAGGACUGACCUACCAUAUUCACCGACUCCUUGAGGAGCUGGUGAUCCUUCUUAAAGAUCUGCAGUAACCCUAGCAAACCAUGGUAGUUUACUGCAGGCUUAGUCAUUAUAUAAUGUCUCAAGAAGAAGAGGUAGGAUGUGGGCAGUGAGUUCAGUAUAGCAUCUUUCUCUAGCUGUUCAUGCAAGAGAAUUUUGAGUUUGCUCAGACAUUUGAUCUGCUUGAUCAUAUAUAAUACAUGAUCUGUGAUUGACGUUCCCUCAUGGAUGCGGGCAUUGAAGAUGGCACAAGAGGUUUUAUGCCUCUCAACAUCAUCAGAUGUACCGAAGGAUUCAUUCAACAUUUGAAGUAUUUCUUCCAGCCGAGUAUCCUCAAAUUUACGACUGAACUCAUCAUUUAUAGCCGCUCUCAUAAUGUAAUGCACUGCGGUGCAGUCAUUGAGCUAUUUCUGAUAAGUAUCUCUGACUGCACUAUCUUCAAUUUUCGAUAUCAGCUAUUGAAAUUAGAUCCCAUGAGCUUGUCACUGUCUAACAGUGAGUGGAGCAAUAAAGUACUAGCCAUUACUGAAAAAAAUAUAAGACCUAUUAGUAUAUGAAUUAUUUAAUCCUAAAGAUUUGAACUUUAGUCGAAAUAUUUUCUCACUAUUUUUUACGAAUUAAUAGUCUCUACCUCCAAUUCGAAAAAUUACUUUAGUCCCUUAGCAGGUACUAGAAUCCACACCGACUGCAUAUGAGCCCAAGUGUGGCUCGACCAACCCAUGUGCAUCAAUGGAUAGGUUCUUAACUAAUUAUUUUUUCAAAUAAUUUUUAGUAAUAUAUUUUGCUCCAGGCUUCUCUUCAAUAGGUGUGUAGCGUCUCUACUGAAAAUCUUGAUUUUAUCCAACCAUUAACAUGAUCAUACUCAGUGUAUCUAAUUAACGAAUGAUUAGAUCUGAGUGUGGCUCGACCAACCUGACCACCCAAUAGAAAGUCACAACUGAGUCAUCAUAUUAUGAAUGACAAUUUCAAUAGCCAGAUAAACACCAGGCGUGUGGCACCUCCAAUGCUUAUUCAGACUAUUGGAUUGAUUAUCAUCCACUUUAAUGGGAGGUUAUGAACUUGUUAUCCCCAUAACAUUAUCAUUUUAAGGAUCCAAUAAUUUAAAAAUUUAAUUAUUUAUUUUAGAAUCAAGAGAAGAGAUUAACCAACAAUCAACAAUCCUCCCUCUGACUUCACCAACUUUUUGAAGAGGACUAGAGACUAAGCUGGUUCAAGGGUACAUAAAUCAGUUAUAUUGAUUAACCUUAAUGGCAUGGGUAAACUCGAAUCAUUAAGCGACCUAAUCAAAAUUAGAUUAACCAUAUUGGCUAGGUAAGUGAAGAUUGACGGAAAGGUCCUCAUUUCUUUCCAUAGACACCAAUGUAAUUAGCCAGAAAAAAGAAUAGUCGCAAUUAAAAAUUCGUUUCAACCACUUGUCUUAAACACCAAUUGGUUCAUUAGUUUCGAUUUGGUCAGGCAAAUAAAUUCGGACUCAACCACUGAGCUAUAAUCAGGUCUAUUUGAUAAAAUAUAGACUUGAUUAACUACAACUAUUGAGUUUGAUCUAGAGUGACUUUGACCUAAUCUAAAUAAAUUUUUUAUUAGAUUUGAUCAACUACUCAUUUUAGUCUAUUUGUUUUCAACCUUAGGUGUCACCCAGUUAAAAGGAUCUGAUUUGAGCUAACCCAUAGUCCCAUAUUUUAUGAAAUGUCAUUAGAUCUUAAAUUCAUAAUUCUAGAUUCUUUAAUUUUAUAUCUUAAUUCUAAAUUAAGUGUAUGAAAUUAAUAUUUAAAUAAUUUUAAAUAUAAACUCCUUUACAUAAAAUGUCAUGCAAAAAAUAUUCAGUCUAAAAAAUUUGAGUCGACUCACCCAGGAUUGAGUCGGCUCAACACAGUGAGUCAACUCAAUUAUGAGACAUAGUUGACUCACUAAUGAUGAACAGAAACAUUCAUCCUAAGCCUGCACAAGUUGGCUCAACAAAAAAUUGAGCCAACUCAUCAGGGACUUAAGUCGACUCAAAUCAAAAUUGAGUCAACUCAGCAGGUGUGCCAGCAACAAUUGAGAAGUUUUAGAUCUGAUAUUUUUGCAUAAACAGUAAUAAAAUUAAUCAUAAAUCUAUUUUAGAUGUAAUCUAAACUUAGUUAUGAUAUAAUCUAAACUAAUCAUAAAUUAUAAAUCUAUUUUAGAUCUAAUCAUAAAUCUAUUUUUGUCGUUAGGAUACUAUAAUUAUUAAAUUAAUUUUAAUUUUUAAAAAUAUUAAAAAUAUAUAAAAAGUAGCAAGUCACAUCGAAUUUAUAGAAAAGAUUUCUCAUAUAGGUUCUGACGAUUGUGUUGGAGACCGAUAUAGCAUAAGUACUGCUUGCAGCUUUGAAUUGUUAGCUGGAUCGGCAAUGCUUGUUGUGCAGCAAGACUAGGUUAACCAGGGGCCUAUGAGAAGAAAACUGUUAUAAGAUCUUGAAGAGACAGGGAUGAUAGCACAAUUGAUUAAGAUAUUUCAUGCAGGAACAGUAUUAGACUCAUAUGGUAACUUCAUCAUAUUUGCUGUCAGUGUGCUUGGUGUCACUUCAAAAAAAUAAAUUAGAGUAAGUGAGAAAGAAAGAGAAAGUCUUUCAUCAGAGAUAUUUGGCAACUAACAUGCAAGCAAGCAUAAGUUGAACGUUUUGAAAUGACUAUAUUUGAUGAUCUAGACUUUGCUUAAUUAAACAUCACUAUAUGAGGCGGCUCCUAAAAGAUCAGUAGACAUGCAUGAUAUAUUAUAAAAUUUGCUUAUUAGAAAUCAUGUGAAANNNNNNNNNNNNNNNNNNNNAUUUGAAUUAGCAAUUUUAGUUAAUGGCCAAGAAGUUUAUAUCACUUAUUUAACCACUUAUUUAUUUAUUUAUUUUGGUAAGUUAGAAAACUAAUAGAAGGAAACAGAUAACAAGAGGAAACAUAGCAAUAGAAAAAACCCCAUAGAAACCCAGAGGAAUUACCACCCCUUGGGGUGAAGAACACGAAAUGCAUCCAAAUAGAUAAUUUGACAUAGAGAAGACGACAACCUAGUUAAUGAAUGGAAUUGAAGAUCCUCCUUUUCUGAAGACAACCAAACCACUGCAGCAUUAUCCUCCCAGAAUAUAUGCCUAACGACAGAGUAGUCUAAUGAAGAGGACAAGCAAAAAAAUGUCAUACAAUAGUGGAAUAGAGGAUAGAACCUUCAAACCUGUGGAAAUCCCCCGCACCACCAUGAUGGAGUCACCUUCAAGGAUAAGCCAUCUACACCCAAAUGAAAAAUAGCUACUUUCAUGCCCUCCCAUGCACCACACAUCUCAAUCUCAGGGACUAAACCAAUUGCAAAUCUUUCUGCUCCCGUCAUAAGCAUGUUCUCAUCAUGAUUUUGAAUAAUGUAACUAGCACCGACACUAUUCAGCCCAAAGGACCCACUGAAGCUAACUUUUAGAACAGCCUGGGAUGGAGGCAUCCAACACACCAGCAAAGGUUGAAUAGAGAGGGGGUUACAAGAACCAAAAAUGCCUCAGUGCAACUUGGUUCUUUUGGCUGACAUCAAUGACUCCGUAAAAGAAUUGGCAAGGUGUAUACCAAGACCAGCUAUUUUGACAACUCUGAUAUCUAUUUUGAAACAUUCUUUCAUUUCUACACUUCCACAACAACCAUCCAGUAUAUGCCAUAGUGGAUGGUGUACUUUAUCAAAAUAUGAGAAAAGAGAAUUAACAAGCCCAUCUAGUGAGUCCGAAGGAAGUUGAAACCCCACUUCAAUUGCAACAAAAGACCAAACCGUAGUUGCUCUUGGGCAUUGGAUCAACACAUGGUCG
rnacentral:lncRNA from 1 species